UUACGGGAGGCAGCAGUGGGGAAUAUUGGUCAAUGGGCGCAAGCCUGAACCAGCCAUGCCGCGUUCAGGAUGACGGUCCUAUGGAUUGUAAACUGCUUUUGUACAGGGAGAAACACUGGUUCGUGAACCAGCUUGACGGUACUGUAAGAAUAAGGAUCGGCUAACUCCGUGCCAGCAGCCGCGGUAAUA
rnacentral:rRNA from 1 species